AGAGUUUGAUCCUGGCUCAGGAUGAACGCUAGCGACAGGCUUAACACAUGCAAGUCGAGGGGCAGCGGGGUAGUGCUUGCACUACUGCCGGCGACCGGCGCACGGGUGAGUAACACGUAUGGAACCUGCCCGCAGCAGGGGGAUAAGCGGAAGAAAUUCCGUCUAAUACCGCGUAACAACGUUGGGAGGCAUCUCCUGGUGUUUAAAGAUUUAUCGGCUGCGGAUGGCCAUGCGGCGCAUUAGCUAGUCGGCGGGGUAACGGCCCACCGAGGCAACGAUGCGUAGGGGUUCUGAGAGGAAGGUCCCCCACACUGGUACUGAGACACGGACCAGACUCCUACGGGAGGCAGCAGUGAGGAAUAUUGGUCAAUGGCCGAGAGGCUGAACCAGCCAAGUCGCGUGAGGGAAGACGGCCCUACGGGUUGUAAACCUCUUUUGUCGGGGAGCAAAGCAGACCACGUGUGGUCUAUUGAGAGUACCCGAAGAAAAAGCAUCGGCUAACUCCGUGCCAGCAGCCGCGGUAAUACGGAGGAUGCGAGCGUUAUCCGGAUUUAUUGGGUUUAAAGGGUGCGCAGGCGGAGGUGCAAGUCAGCGGUCAAAUUGCGGGGCUCAACCCCGUACUGCCGUUGAAACUGCAUCCCUUGAGUGCGCGAGAAGUAUGCGGAAU
rnacentral:rRNA from 1 species